UACGUAGGGUGCGAGCGUUGUCCGGAAUUAUUGGGCGUAAAGAGCUCGUAGGCGGCCUGUCGCGUCGGUUGUGAAAGCCCGGGGCUUAACCCCGGGUCUGCAGUCGAUACGGGCAGGCGUAGAGUUCGGUAGGGGAGAGUCGGAAUUCCCGGUGUAGCGGUGAAAUGCGCAGAUAUCGGGAAGAACACCCGUGGCGAAGGCGGCUCUCUGGGACGGUACUGACGCUGAGACGCGAAAGCGUGGGGAGCGAACAGG
rnacentral:rRNA from 1 species